GACGAACGCUGGCGGCGUGCUUAACACAUGCAAGUCGAACGGAAAGGCCUGCUUUCCCUUGUGGAUUGCGGGUACUCGAGUGGCGAACGGGUGAGUAACACGUGAGUGAUCUGCCCCCAACUUGGGUAUAAGCCUGGGAAACUGGGUCUAAUUCCCGAUAGGACUGCAGGGUGGUGCCUGUGGUGGAAAACGAUUUUCUAGUGGUUGGGGAUGAGCUCGCGGCCUAUCAGCUUGUUGGUGGGGUAAUGGCCUACCAAGGCGGCGACGGGUAGCCGGCCUGAGAGGGUGGACGGCCACAUUGGGACUGAGAUAAGGCCCAGACUCCUACGGGAGGCAGCAGUGGGGAAUAUUGCACAAUGGGCGGAAGGCUGAUGCAGCGACGCAGCGUGGGGGAUGACGGCAUUCGGGUUGUAAACUCCUUUGGACCGAGAGGAAGCCACCUGGUUGGAAGGGUGGUGACGGUAGUGGUAGAAGAAGCACCGGCUAACUACGUG
rnacentral:rRNA from 1 species